rnacentral:rRNA from 1 species
CCGGAGUGAACGCACCACUGGUGUUCGGGUUGUCAUGCCAAUGGCAUUGCCCGGUAGCUAAGUGCGGAAAAGAUAAGCGCUGAAAGCAUCUAAGCGCGAAACUUGCCUCAAGAUGAGUCUUCCCUGGGCCUUUAAGGCCCCUGAAGGAACGUUUAAGACUAAGACGUUGAUAGGCUGGGUGUGUAAGUGCAGCGAUGCAUUGAGCUAACCAGUACUAAUGAUCCGUGAGGCUUAACCUUACAACACCGAAGGUGUUUUAG